UACGGAGGACGCGAGCGUUAUCCGGAUUUAUUGGGUUUAAAGGGUGCGCAGGCGGCACGGCAAGCCGGCGGUCAAAUCGCGGGGCUCAACCCCGCCCAGCCGUCGGAACUGCCGGGCUAGAGUGGGCGAGAAGUGCGCGGAAUGCGUGGUGUAGCGGUGAAAUGCAUAGAUAUCACGCAGAACUCCGAUUGCGAAGGCAGCGCACCGGCGCCCUACUGACGCUCAGGCACGAAAGCGUGGGUAUCGAACAGG
rnacentral:rRNA from 1 species